rnacentral:lncRNA from 1 species
GGAUCGAUGAUGAGAAUAAUUGUCUGAGGAUGCUGAGGGACUCAUUCCAGAUGUCAAUCUGAGGUCCAGAUGUGUGGCCCUCCAAUAGGACAAAUAAGACUCUCAGAGCCUGGCUCUAUUUGGGGAUCCCUCAGUGACAACAUAGUACCUCUGUGAGCGUGCCUUUUCUAUCUCUCCGAAGAGGGCAUUAGCAUCCUGUCUUAUGAGUCAGUAUGCACUUUAGUAUGGUUAGUGACCCAAGACUCACUUUAUUUUGUUCAUUUUGAGCAGAGAAUUGUAGAUAGAUACAUAUAUGGGAAAUAUGUUCUUGAUUAACAAAUGAAAAAAUGAAAAAGUUUCAGUCAAGAAAGGUCAAGGAACUGUGAUGUAUAGUGAAGGCAGGGAACACUGCAUGCCUGUAUUAAAUAUUGACAAAGGAACCAAUUUUAGUGCUUUGUUAUUUUUACUGUUGAGUAUUUUCUGAGACCAUUUCUUUUUCUUCUAUUUUGUUUUGCUGAGGUAGAGGAGGGCUGGAAUGAGGUCCUCCACUUCAGAAAAUAGGGGUGAGUAGUUAAACCAACAUCCUUUGGAAUUCAUAUACGUCAUGCGUUCCAUGCCACAUCCUGAGAUCUUUUUGUUGAUUUUUUUAGUGGCUUACUGGAUAAUAUCUAAAUACUGUAUAUUUUACUUUGGUGAGUCUCUCCACCUUCAUUUCUGAAUCAUUGUCCUUUACAUUUUUAUUCUAUUUGAAUUUUGCAUGAAAUGACAAAUGUAGAAUUUUGCCCAAUUUAUUUUAUUUAUUCAUUUAUUUAUUUGGGAAGACAAAGUCUCUCUCUGUCACCCAGGCUGGAGUACAUUGGCCCAGUCAGAGCUCACUUCAGCUCUUCACCCUGUAGCCCUUAACUCCUGGGCUCAAGUGAUCCUCCACCCUCAGCCUCCCAAGUAUCUAGGAAUACAGUUGUCAUGGGAGGCCAGCCGCCUGCUGGCAAGGAAGAUGGUUGAUUCUUCUGAUCAAUGGAGGCCCUGCAGAGUCCUGUAGUCACUGUGGCCUGGCAUCCAUGGUGCACCCAAUGCUGGUGGAUGGCUUAGGACGAGGCAGUUGCUGUGGGAGGUGUGGUAACUGCUGGAAGGAAGAUGCUCAAUUCUUCUGAGCAACGAAGGCCACACGGAGUCCUGGAUUCUGUGUGGCCUGGCAUCCAUGGCGCACUGUGUGCUGGCAGGUGGCUCAGGACGGGGCAGUUAUCAUGGGACACCCGCCAUAUGCUGGCAAGGAAGAUGGUCAGUUCUUCUGAGCCACAAAGGCCCCCAACAUCCUGGAGUUGGUGUUGCCUAGCAUCCACGGUGCGCCCCCUGCUGGUGGAUGGCUCAGGAUGGGGCAGUUGCCGUGGGAGGCCCGCUGCCUGCUGGAAGGAAGAUGGUCAGUUCUUCUGAACCACAAAGGCCCUGCAGAGUCCUGGAGUCUGUGUGGCCUGGCUUCCAGGGUUCACCUCAUGCUGGUGGAUUGCUCAGGAUGGGUGCCGAAGGUCUUUAAGGUCGUCAGCUCACCUACUGCCCAGCCUGUGGUGUCAAAUGUCCUGCCUCUUCAAAUGUGUUUGGAUCGAUGAUGAGUCCCCCCAAAAAAACAUUCCUUGGAAAAGCUGAACAAAAUGAGUGAAAACUCAUACCGUCGUUCUCAGCGGAACUGAGGUCCAGCGCGUUGCCUCCAGCAGGGACUGUUGGAGUGAGGGAGAGCUUCCACUAGUCCCUAUAGGUUCCACCACCCAGGGCAUCCGCAGGGACAGUUGCCGUGGGAGGUCCGCUGCCUGCUGUCAAGGAAGAUGGUCGAUGCUUCUGAGAAACAGGCCCUGCGGGUUCCUGGAUUUGGUGUGGCCUGGCAUCCACGGUGCACCCCGUGCUGGCGGGUGGCCCAGGACGGGGCAGUUGCCUUGAGAGGCCCACCGCCUGCUGGCAUGACAGAUGGUCAGUUCUUCCGAGCAGUGGAAUCUCCAUGGAGUCGUGGAGUCGGUGUGGCCUCGCAUCCACAGUGCACCCUGUGCUGGUGGAUGGCUCAGGACAGGGCAGUUGCCGUGGGAGGCCUGCCGUCUGCUGAAAGGAAGAUGGUUGAUGCUUCUGAGCAAUGAAGGCCCCAUGGAGUCCUGGAUUCGGUGUGGCCUUGCAUCCGUGGUGCACCCCGUGCUGGUGGAUGGCUCAGGACGGGGCAGUUGCCAUGGGAGGCGCAGGCCUGCUGGAAGGAAGAUGGUCGAUUCUCCCAAGCAACAAAGGCCACGUAGAGUCCUGGUUUCAGUGUGGCCUGGUAUCCACAGUGCACCCCGUGCUGGUGGGUGGCUCAGGACGCACACUCAUUUCCUCUGCACCUUCCUGGUGUCAUUGGCAUGGAAGGAAGGCCCUUGUCCAAGAAGGAUGGUCUUCGUCUUGUGUGAUCUUUGAGAUGCCAUGAGGCCCCUGGAUACAAAUGGUGUGGGCUCCUUUGGAGGCUUUUGGAUUUCUCCUGAAUGUGGCGUUGGUAUGGAAGGAAGGCCAGUGACCGCAAGGGAUGACUUUGAUCUUGGGAGAUUUUUGGAGAUGGCAAAGUGCUUCUAAACAUGUUUGGCAUGGUCUCCUUCAGGCUGGUGGAUACCUCAGGAUGGUGGCGUUGGCAUGGAAGGAAGGACUGUGUCUGUGAGGGAUGAUCAUCCUCUCAUGUGAUCCUUGGAGAUGCCAGGAAGCCCCUUGACACAUGUGGCAUGGGCUCCUUCAGAGGCUUUUGGAUCCGUCGUGAAUGUGGCAUGGGCAUGCAAAGAAAGACAGAGGCUGCAAGGGAUAAACUUCAUCUUGGGAGAUCCCUGGAGAUGGCAGGGAACCCAUGGACACAUGUGGCAUGGGCUCCUUUGGGUGCCGGUGGAUCCCUUCAUACGGUAGUGUUGGUGUAAAAGGCAAACCCGUGUCAUGAGGGAUGGUCAUCAUCUUGUGUGAUCCUUGGAGAUGGCAGGAAGCCCUGGACAUACAUGGUGUGGGGGCUCCUCCAGAGGCUGUUGGGAUCCUCCUGGAUGUGGUGUGGGCAUGGAAGGAAGGCCAGUGGAGACAAUGGAUGAUCUUGUUCUUAGCAGAUCACUGGAUGUGGCAGGGAGUCCUAGGACAUGUGUGGUGUGGGCUUCUUCAGGUGCUGGUGGUGUUGGCAUGAGGAAAGGAGGUAUCUUCGAGGGACAAUCUUCUUCUUGUGCGAUCCUUGGAGAUGCCAUGAGGCCCCUGGACACAUGUGGUGUGGGCUCCUUUGGAGGCUGUUGUAUCCCUUCUGAAUGUGGCGUGGGCAUAGAAGGAAGGCCAGUGGCCACGAGGGACAAUCUUGGUCUUGGGAGAUCCUGGAAAUGAUAGGGAGUCCCUUGAUAUGUGUGGCAUGGGCUCCUUCAGGUGCUAGUGGAUUCCUUAGGAUGGUGGUGUUGGCAUGAAAGGCAGGCUUGUAUCAUGAGGAAUGAUUGUCAUCUUGUCUGAUUCUUGGAGAUGGCAGGAAGCCCCUGGAAACACAUGGUGUGGACUCUUUCACAGGCUGUUGAAACCCUCCUGAAUGUGAGGCCAGAGACAGGCAGACAGCAGAUGUAUUGCAGGGAGCUGGAUGACAUGGCCCUUGGAACCUGUGCACAUGCCUGCCUUUCUGAUGCACGUCCAUGUUUUCUCUGCACCUCCCCGGUGGUGUUGGUAUAAAAAGCAGGCUUACAUCAGCAAGGGAUGAUUGUCGUCUCAUGCGAUCCUGGGAGAUGGCAGAAGUCCCGGGACACAUGGAGUGUGGGCUCUUUCGGAGGCUGUUGGAUCCCUCCUGAAUGGAUAAAGACUGUGCAUGGAUCGAUGAUGACCUCAAUACAUGCAUUCCUUGGAAAGCUGAACAAAAUGAGUGAAAACUCUAUACCGUCGUCCUCGUCAAACUGAGGUCCAGCACGUGGCUCCAACUGGAGCUGGAGAGAGAGAGACAACUUCCAUUGGUUGAUGUGGUCUGGCAUGGAAGAAGGCCAGAGGCUGCGAUGGAUCAUCUUUGUCUUGGGAGAUUCCUGGAGAUGGUGGGGAGCCCCUGGGCACGUGCAGCAUAUGUGGCGUGGGCUUCUUCAGGUGCUGGUGGAUCCCUCAGGAUGCUUUUCAAGGUUUUUCUAUGAGUUCUGUUAAAGAGUCUGAAAAUGGAGCGUAGAAGACAUGCUUCGAUUUCCAGGAUGGUUGUGUUUUCCAGAGAGGCGGAGGUAAACCACUGGCGCAGCCCUGCCUCCCACAGAUAAUUCCGGGUGCAGUGUUUCAUAUCUAGACUUGGACUUCUAUCCUACCAUACUUCUUUGUGUGCAGUUCAUUGUGGAACCAGCACAGAUUUUCAUACGAAAGUUAUUUCUUUUUAACCUCAAAAAGUGACAGAAUGGAGUGUAUCAUGAAAAAGUCUGACAUCAAAACCUCAAAAUGUGAUAUUGAUUGGGUGAGAUAGAAUUCCAUGGAAUUUCAUUGCCAAACCAGUGAAGUGCUAAUUUUGACAUUUGUACCAGCUAACGUAGCUGUGAAGAAACACACCAAUACACUUCUAAGGACAGCAUAGACCAAGAUCUAGGUUUCAUAUGGAUGAAUUUAUUCUUCCCUUUGAGGCAAGACAAGAAGGAAAGAAAGUAUUGGGAAUAAUGCUGCCCUCCCAUCCUCAAGGGCCAGUGGGAACUCUAAUAUUGAUUGGUUUUCACAGAAUUCCAUGGACUUUAACUGCUGAACCAAUGAUGCACUGAUUUUGUCACUUGUACCAGCUAACGCAUCUGGGAGGCAACAAAACAAUACUCUCCUGAGGUUAAUGUGGACCAAAAACUAGAUUUCAUAUAAAAGAGUUUAUUCCUUCUACUUGAGGUGUGACAUGAAGGAAAGUAAUGGAAAUAAUUCUGCCCUCCCAUUCUCAAGGGCCAGGGGGAAUUCAAAUAUUGAACGGAAGUGAUUUUGGAAUUGCAUGGAAUUCUCACUGCCAUCCCAAAGAAAUGCUGAUCUUGUCACUCUUACCUGUUUCAUUCCCUGGGGGCAGAACAAAAGGACGCACUCCAAAGAUCGGCAUGAACCAAGAACUGGGUUUCAUAUAAAAUAUUUUAUUCUGUCCUCUUGAGAUGUGACAUGAGAAAAGUAUUGAGAAUACUUCUAUCACCUCAUCUUCAAGAAUCCGUAGGAAUUCUCCCAUGGUGGACUUUACGGUUAACCUGAACAGGUCUUGGAAAAAGGACUUUAAACAUUCUCCUGUUCUGUGGAAUAAGUAUACUUUUUUCUGGACAUACACCUUGUCAGUGAGUUCCAUGUGAUACUAGAGUUGCAUAGAUUUUUAACCUUUACGCCAAUGAAGAUCUGAGGCAAACAUUGCCCCUUUUUUAGAAGUUUGCAUUUGUCACUGAUAACUGUAAUAAUUGAUCUUGUUGAAAAGCCUGGGAAAUGAAGAUCUGAUAUGUCACUUUUACCGGCUUCCUCAACUGAAAAAGAAUACAAUGAAACACGCUGAGAAUUUUUGUGCUUUCUCAGUCUUGCUGAUGAUCUUUCUAUGGGCCUGAAGCGUGGAGAGUGCCAGAGAGGCUGAUCCUCAGCAGUGUGGCAGAGGAAAGUUGGGUGCGACUAAGGGGUAUGCGGUGCCCACAUGCCACUGGGUCCUCAGCAGUACCACCUGAUUGGAAGUGAUAUUGGUGGAAGACAACAUUUUGCCGCUUGGAAUUCUCACCUCCACACCAAAGAAGUACUGUUUUUGUCAUUUGCACCAGCUUCUUUCUCCAGGAAAGAUCAAAACGAUGCACUGCAAGUGUGAUUGGUCCAGAUAGCUGCCUUAUCCAACUGCCUCCUUUGGACCACUUCAUCAUGGGACAGCUUGAUGCAAUCUACUUGACAAGACCCUGGAACCCCACACCCCUCAUGGAACCAGUGUCCACCUCCCAGUCACAGUGUGACCCCAGGGAACUCUUGCCUGCUUGCUUUAAACCCACCACUUAAAAGUCUCCACAGAAAACCUGUUUGAAUAGUACCCUUGACCCAAUAAGGGCAUUGGCCCCUGGGUGUCUCUCUCUCUCUCUCUCUCUCUCUCUCCCUCUCUCUCCCUCUCUCUCUCUCGCUCCCUGACCUCUGCGUGUGGACUCCAGGCAUGCCAUAUACCCCUCAGGACCUGAAGCAAAAGAAUGAAUUAAAGAAAACUCCAGAGAAUGAGCUGACAACCUACUCCCUGGUCAGUGGCUCUCCAUGCCUACCUGUGGUCUCUUGGACACCCUUGCAGAAGAUGACUUCCUGGGAACUCUUCUGGGAGUGAAUGUUAUCAGCAAAUUCCCAAAACAACACCCCUUAGACAAAAAGCCUCCUCACCUAUGCAUUGCCUAGACCACCCACUAAAGGUGAUGGCCACAAAGAGGUGGAUUUGUUGAGUUGGUGCCAUUCCUUCUACUGCCAGCUUCACCAAAACAAUGACACAGUCUUCCUUCCGCAUGGAGACUCUUCUCUUUCCUGUGUUGCAGUGGAUGCCUCCUGCAGAUAAGAAAUGCUUAACUGAGAAAUGCUCAUGUUGGGAUAUCAUCGAUGAGACUUUAAUUUGGGCAUGGUGACUGUUUCCCUUGCUGCCACUUGACUCAAUCCCAGGAGCCUCAGUAGAGGAUAUAAUAUUACACAAGAUGCUCAAAAUGGUGGAAUUGCUCAGUGCUCCCAUAAAUAUACAUUUAUAAUUUUCAUUUGCCACAUGGUAAACUGAAAAAUACAGACUAUAUUAAAAAGAAACUGCAUGAUUUUUUUUCAAAAAUUCAAAGCAUAUUUAAAUAAUAUAUAAAUUAAAUGCCCUCCUCUCUUCCAAUUCUGUCCCUAUAGUUUUCCUCUAUUAAGUGAACUACAUGCAUUCUUUUAGUGGAUAGAUGCACACAAACACACAAGCCAUUAUGGGGAAGGAUCCACGUGUGUGGCCAUAUUGUAACACAUUUUUCUGCAAAUCACCUCUUUCAUUUAACAGCCCUUAUUCAAUGGCCUUUUUCUUUUUCAGUAGUACAUACACAUCUGUGUCAUUUGUUGAAUGACGACAUGAAUGUUUUGUAGAUAAAAUAUAAUUAAAUGUUUUAAGCAUUUCUCACUCAUAGAUAUUUAUGUUAGCACCAAAUUUCUGUGCAAUGAACCUCCCUAUAUAUCAGUAAUUUUGCAUUUGUCUAUAAUAUCAUAAUAAAUUACUUAUCAGUUGAAUUACUGGGAUUAAGUAUGUGCACACUUUAUAUUUAUAUUUUGAAAAUUAUUGCAAGAUUGCCUUCAAAAAUGUGGUUAACAACUUUAUCUUCAAAUGGCAAUGAAUGAGAUUGCCAGCUUUCCUACAGCCUCACAGACAAUGGAUUUUAUAAAUAUUUAACAUUUUUGCCAAUGUGAUCACCCAAACUAUUGUCUUAAAUUGUAUCUCUUUUGUUUUUGAGUUUGGUCAUUUUUUCAUGUUUAUUAGCCAUCUGUAUUUUUUAAUUUCUUCUUUAUGUCCAAUUUUGUGGGUGGGAGGAGGAUUUAGUCUCUUCCUGAUUUCGAAGAGCUCAUUUACUAUUUCGGGAAAUAAGAUUUGGAUUGUCAACCAUUAUAGCUAUUUUUUACACACUUUUCAACUUUGUUUUUGUUAUAAGAAUGUGUAUGAUUGUUACAUGUCCAAGUAUAACCAUGUUCGCUUUUAUGGCUUCUGAGUUUCAUGUCAUUUUUGGAAAGAUAUAUAUAUUGAGUCCAUAAAACCCUUCACCUAUGUUAAAUUCUAAUUCUUUUGUGUUUUUUUAAUUCAAAUUCUUAAAUCAUGAGAAAUUUUUUUGUUUUGAAAUCUUAAAGUUGCCAAGUUACUUGCCAUUACUUGCGAUUAUUUGCCAAUAAUUGCCCAUUUAUCUGUACCGCCAUCUUGCGCAUAUGCUGUACUCUCAUCUGUGACUGGCUCCAUUUUUGUUCUGUGGAUUUGUGUGUCUCUUCUUCUGCCUCCUGUCUCGUGUCUGCUCGUUGGAAGAAAUUACAGUUUAGACUGCAAUUUCAUCAACUUUAAUAAAUCAAUUGAGGGGAGAAUUGGUUUUUAAAAAUAUUAAGUAAGUCUUCGUAUCCAAGGACAAGGUAUGUCUUUUCUUAUUCAAUAAUUUUAAUUACUGUUAAUAUUUUCACUGUGGUGAUGGGAGUUUUUCUUUUAAUUUAUUUUCUUGUUCAUUUUUUGUAUCUAAAGUUUUUGUUUUGUUUUGUUUUGGGGGUAAGUUGUCACCUUACUGUUUCUUGUUGCUUUUCAGAUUUUUUCAAAGUAUAGACUAAAUCCUUCACAAAUAUUUAAAGUUUUUAUUUUCCCCCUUCAUAUUGAUCCUGAUUUUAGUUAUGUUGACAAAGUCCACAGACUGUUACUAUCAGAACACUUGAACAGUUAUGGAAAUAUUACCUACCCUUGAUUUAAUCAGAGUUUAAUGGUAUGCUUCUUUGGUUUGACUGGCACAUUGUCGCUGGUCAUUUCCUCCCAAAGACCACCAGAAAGAGCUAUGAUCAAGCAAAGCUGAGUUUGUUAAACUUACCUGCAGCAAGGGAAAACACCACCUUGAUAGGGUUUAAUAAUGUUUCAAAAUCAAGAAAUGAGGCUUUGGGGUCUGGGCAGGGAACUAAUUAGAAAUGGGCAAAAUUUGUCAUGCAAUACCUUGUGGGAAAGUGAGAUGAGGUUCUUAAUGUGAGUAUUGAUGGUGAAAUCAUUUUCUAGGUGAGCUGUUUGCCUAUAUAAAGAUGUUAUCAAUGACAGAAGAACUAUUUGCCUAGAUAAACAAACUGAAUUUAUUUAUUGGUUUACAGUUUUAUCUUGCUGGGCAGGACUCUGCUGGGGGUGGUAUCAGGUCUUAUUCCCAAUAGGUAAGUUAUUUGGAUAUGGGUGGUCUUAAUCAUCAAUGUGUAAAAUGCUGAUUUUAAGUGCGAAAUACUUUGUCUACCAUGUUAGGAAAGUCUGCCACCUUUUAUCUUUUUUAAGGAAUUUUAAUCAAAACCAGGUGGUAGAUAUAAUCAAAUUGUUUUGCAGAAUCAAUUUUCCUGUUCUCUUUAAAGACUUUUAUCACUGUGAAUUAAUUUACUAUUAUUGCAACUUCCUUUAAUUCCUUGAAUGAACAGACCCUACUGGUUUUAAAAAUGUUUUAUUCUUUUAAUUUACUACUUAAUUGUGGGUAUUUUAAUUUGAUUUGGAAUUUUUACAAGUAUACAACUAAGUGAAAUUGAUCUGUGAUUUUUCUUUUUUGUGCUAUUUUUGUCAUGUUUUGAUAUCAGAUAUUCUGGUUGUGUUAAAAUAAUUUUGAGGAUUUUCUUCUUAUACUGUGUUCUAGAGUGGGUAAAAAAGCCCUAGUCUCACUAUCAGUGUUUAAGUGAACACAUCAGUGACAUCAUCUGGACUCUCCUUUGUUUUUGCUGGUUUGGAGUUAGGACAUCUAGAAGUUUUUUUCUUUUUUUCCUUUUUUUGUAUGGUUAUUGCUUGUUCUUUGUUUUGUGUCAAAUUUAACCUGUUUUCUCUUAGCAAAUCACAGCUCAUGCAGAUUUUCAAACACAUUAGCCUUGUUAUACAAAGUGUUCUUUCAUCAUUCUAUUAAAUUUCCAUUUUCAUUCCAGUUAUAGUUAUUUCUGCUGUGCCUUUGUUAAUGAAUAAGUUUAAACAGUGGAUGUUUAGCAUCACUAGCCUUCCCCUUCCAUCUCCCUUAAUCAGGACCUUGGUAUAAUUUAUCAGGUAUUUUUUAAGGUUCUAAUUUACUUAUAUAUAUUGUUUCUGUAUUCUUUUGUUUCUUUUCUUAAUAAAUUCUUAAA